UUUAGCCUACGGGGGGCAGCAGUGGGGAAUAUUGGGCAAUGGGCGCAAGCCUGACCCAGCAACGCCGCGUGAAGGAAGAAGGCUUUCGGGUUGUAAACUUCUUUUCUCAGGGACGAAGAAAGUGACGGUACCUGAGGAAUAAGCCACGGCUAACUACGUGCCAGCAGCCGCGGUAAUACGUAGGUGGCAAGCGUUAUCCGGAUUUACUGGGUGUAAAGGGCGUGUAGGCGGGAAAGCAAGUCAGAUGUGAAAACCACAGGCUCAACCUGUGGCCUGCAUUUGAAACUGUUUUUCUUGAGUACUGG
rnacentral:rRNA from 1 species